UGGGGAAUAUUGCACAAUGGGCGGAAGCCUGAUGCAGCGACGCCGCGUGAGGGAUGACGGCCUUCGGGUUGUAAACCUCUUUCAGUAGGGACGAAGCGUAAGUGACGGUACCUGCAGAAGAAGCCCCGGCUAACUACGUGCCAGCAGCCGCGGUAAUACGUAGGGGGCUAGCGUUAUCCGGAUUUACUGGGCGUAAAGGGUGCGUAGGUGGUCUUUCAAGUCGGUGGUUAAAGGCUACGGCUCAACCGUAGUUAGCCUCCGAAACUGGAAGACUUGAGUGCAGGAGAGGAAAGUGGAAUUCCCAGUGUAGCGGUGAAAUGCGUAGAUAUUGGGAGGAACACCAGUAGCGAAGGCGGCUUUCUGGACUGCAACUGACACUGAGGCACGAAAGCGUGGGUAGCAAACAGG
rnacentral:rRNA from 1 species